rnacentral:rRNA from 1 species
CCUACGGGAGGCAGCAGUAGGGAAUAUUGCUCAAUGGGGGAAACCCUGAAGCAGCAACGCCGCGUGGAGGAUGAAGGUUUUCGGAUUGUAAACUCCUUUUGUUAGAGAAGAUAAUGACGGUAUCUAACGAAUAAGCACCGGCUAACUCCGUGCCAGCAGCCGCGGUAAUACGGAGGGUGCAAGCGUUACUCGGAAUCACUGGGCGUAAAGGGCGCGUAGGCGGGAUAGCAAGUCAGAUGUGAAAUCCUAUGGCUUAACCGUAGAACUGCAUUUGAAACUGUUAUUCUAGAGUAUGGGAGAGGUAGGCGGAAUUCUUGGUGUAGGGGUAAAAUCCGUAGAGAUCAAGAGGAAUACUCAUUGCGAAGGCGACCUGCUAGAACGUAACUGACGCUGAUGCGCGAAAGCGUGGGGAGCAAACAGGAUUAGAUACCCGGGUAGUC